GAAUGAAAUCAGUUGGAAUAAGACAAGAAGAAGUCAAUCAUUUAUUUCCCGUGCUAUGAAUGUUAAAAAGAAGAAUGAGGAGGAGAAACAGGAGGGGAGUGAAUAGAGAGAGGGACAGGGAGAAGAAUAAAAAUAGAAAGGAAGAAAGAAAAGAAGAAAGGAAGGGAGAAAGGAAAGAACAUCAGGAGAGUGGGAGGGAAGGAAGGGAGAAAGAGAAGGAGAGAGAGAGGGAGGGAGGGAGGAAGA
rnacentral:lncRNA from 1 species